CCCGGGCUAAACUACGUGCCCAGCAGCCCGCGGGUAAUACGUAGGGUGCGAGCGUUAAUCGGAAAUUACUGGGCGUAAAGCGUGCGCAGGCGGGUUUUGUAAGUCAGAUGUGAAAUCCCCGAGCUCAACUUGGGAAACUGCGUUUGAAACUACAAGACUAGAAUAUGUCAGAGGGGGGUAGAAUUUCCACGUGUAGCAGUGAAAUGCGUAGAGAUGUGGAGGAAUACCAAUGGCGAAGGCAGCCCCCUGGGAUAAUAUUGACGCUCAUGCACGAAAGCGUGGGGAGCAAACAGGAUUAGAUACCCUGGUAGUCCACGCCCUAAACGAUGUCUACUAGUUGUUGGUGGAGUAAAAUCCAUGAGUAACGCAGCUAACGCGUGAAGUAGACCGCCUGGGGAGUACGGUCGCAAGAUUAAAACUCAAAUGAAUUGACGGGGGCCCGCACAAGCGGUGGAUUAUGUGGAUUAAUUCGAUGCAACGCGAAAAACCUUACCUGGCCUUGACAUGUAACGAACUUUCCAGAGAUGGAUUGGUGCUCGAAAGAGAACGUUAACACAGGUGCUGCAUGGCUGUCGUCAGCUCGUGUCGUGAGAUGUUGGGUUAAGUCCCGCAACGAGCGCAACCCUUGCCAUUAAUUGCCAUCAUUUAGUUGGGCACUUUAAUGGGACUGCCGGUGACAAACCGGAGGAAGGUGGGGAUGACGUCAAGUCCUCAUGGCCCUUAUGGCCAGGGCUUCACACGUAAUACAAUGGUCGGUACAGAGGGUUGCCAACCCGCGAGGGGGAGCCAAUCCCAGAAAGCCGAUCGUAGUCCGGAUUGUAGUCUGCAACUCGACUACAUGAAGUCGGAAUCGCUAGUAAUCGCGGAUCAGCAUGUCGCGGUGAAUACGUUCCCGGGCCUUGUACACACCGCCCGUCACACCAUGGGAGUGGGUUUUACCAGAAGUAGGUAGUCUAACCGCAAGGAGGACGCUUACCACGGUAGUAUUCAUGACUGGGGUG
rnacentral:rRNA from 1 species